rnacentral:lncRNA from 1 species
CGCGCUCGGAAGGCCGAAGCAGUUGAGCUAAAGGCCGAGGCCCAGCAUCUGGAGGCAUUUCACGCAAUUCUGGAAACCCUGGAGGAACCAGAACAGGGGCAGCGAGACCUCAAGGCCGGCUGGAGACUGCAGGGGCCUGAACUUCCGUUGUGUUAAAUACACCUCUCCAGGCAGGUGGGCGUCUCCCUGGGAGAUCCCAAGACCAGAUGAAGAAACAAAGGCCAAGACCCUGACUGGAAUAGCCCACACCAAUGAACAAUGGUUUGCCCCUGUCAGUGUGGACAACAUUCCAUAGGGAAUCCUGAGUGGGAUGCCCCUGUCGUGCAGCACCACUGCUCUCCUAAGACAGCUCUCCUGUUUUCUCUGCAUUACUGGUAAACACUUUAAAUAAACUUUUGCUUUGCACUGUACCAAAAACAAAGCCCCCCGCAAAGUAGCAUGACUAGAAGAUAAGACUAAAUCACUUAAAUUCAAUUAACUCUUACGACCUCAAAAAUAAAACACCAGUGCACCUUCAUAUCUUAGCUUUGAGAAAGUUUGCUCCCCAAAAAUAUCCAUUGAAAGUG